GUUGCGUCUCUACCUUUGUGGUAGAGCACUCCUCCAAACGGAGACGUACACCUACCCCAAUCGGUGGAACUCCGGUGAAAUCUUCGUCCUCGUGUGGUAUCCAUUCUUACCCUUUACAUUCUUGUUAUCUAGUUGCUUCGGCUAUUGCACUUCAUCCUAGGGUUGCAUUACCUUUAGAAAAUUUAGUAAACCCUAGGUUAAGUGUUUGUAUCUUUCUAGAAAAGAAAAAGAAAAAUAUUAAAAUUUGUUAGUCGCCUAUUCACCGCCCCCCUCUAGCCGACCAUACUGAUCUUUCACCUCUUGUUCUUUGCAACCGAGAUAGGAGUAGGACUUCUCUUCCCAUCCUCAUCACUAUCAUCAGACUCAUCCACAUUCUCAACAUCUGGAGAAGAAGAGUGGCUAGACUUCCUCCUGUUUGGGAUGUCAUUGCCCUUUGUCUUCCACUUCUCACAAUGCUUGAGCAAAUCCUGACAA
rnacentral:lncRNA from 1 species